UACGGGGGGGGCAAGCGUUGUUCGGAAUUACUGGGCGUAAAGGGCUCGUAGGUGGCCAACUAAGUCAGACGUGAAAUCCCUCGGCUUAACCGGGGAACUGCGUCUGACACUGGGUGGCUUGAAUCCGGGAGAGGGAUGCGGAAUUCCAGGUGUAGCGGUGAAAUGCGUAGAUAUCUGGAGGAAUACCGGUGGCGAAGGCGGCAUCCUGGACCGGCAUUGACGCUGAGGAGCGAAAGCCAGGGGAGCAAACGGG
rnacentral:rRNA from 1 species